AUAUCUUCUUCAACUGCAUCUAUAAAUUCAACAACAAAACUGGAAGAGAGGAAAGUGCAACAUCGGUAACCAACUCAAACAAGCAGAUCCAGAUGUUUGGUAGACAGACACCCUAAUUCAGGUGUUGAAGACAAAAGCUACAUGCACCACCACCACCACCAGCAAUUGCGAGAUCACCGCAGGGACAGCACAACUCCUACGUGUUUUUAUGCACUGUAAAAAAUCAGGGUGGACCAGAUUGAUGAGCUCUCCCUACAAUUUGUUUCUGCAGUGAGGAGACACCCUCUUUAGAUAAUUAUUUUGUAACGUAUCUGCAGAAAAACAUUGUUUUGAGCUCAAAAAGCAGUAGAAGCAGUAUGCAAACCAGCAGAAUGCAAAUAUUUCACCGACGCGAUACGGCUCCCAACUUUCACCAAAAAGAUCAGUUCAAAAAGAGCCAUUUGUUGGUGAACGACCCAUCACUCGUGUAAGGUACGUUUUCUGUGGAUCCCAGCUCAUGCUGGGGUAGGGGGAAAUGAGGCAGUGGAUAAGGUUGCGAAGAAAGCUCUGAAGAGGUAGGAGAUAUAUGUGGUGUUACCGUUAGGGGGGAUGGAAUGUAGGAGCAUCAUAGCAGAGUGGCUGACACAGGAGUGGCAACUUGAGUGGAGGAACGGGGGAUUCUAUCCAGAAAUCUGUGAGGAAGGUCAGUGGGUAUGUGUGGAGUGAAAGGAGGGAUGAGGUUCUGUUGACAAGGCUGAGGUUGAAUCAUUGUGGAUUGGGAAGUGGGUUAUUGUUAGUGGGGAAACAACCAGAUGAGAAGUGUAAGGAAUGUGAAGAGGUAGAGACUGUGAAGCAUGCCCUGUUAUAUUGAUGAGUGGCGCAGUAGUCUAAGGCAUUGCAUCUUAGUGUAAAAGG